GAGGGUACAGCUCAGUGAUAGAGCACAUGCCUAGAAUGCAUGAGGUCCUGGGUUCAGUCCCCAGUACCUCCA
rnacentral:tRNA from 1 species